rnacentral:rRNA from 1 species
AGUGCACAUGGUGGAUGCCUUGGCGAUUACAGGCGAUGAAGGACGUAGUAGCUUGCGAUAAGCUGCGGGGAGCUAGCAAACAAGCUUUGAUCCGCAGAUUUCCGAAUGGGGAAACCCACCCGCAAGGGUAUCACUCACUGAAUACAUAGGUGUGUGAGGCGAACGUGGCGAACUGAAACAUCUAAGUAGCUACAGGAAAAGAAAUCAACCGAGAUUCCCAGAGUAGUGGCGAGCGAAAUGGGACCAGCCUGCAAGAUUUAGCAUUUUUGAUAGUGGAAUGGAAUGGAAAGUCCAGCCAUAGAGGGUGAUAGCCCCUUAUACGAAAAC